UACGAAGGGGGCUAGCGUUGCUCGGAAUCACUGGGCGUAAAGGGUGCGUAGGCGGGUCUUUAAGUCAGACGUGAAAUCCCCAGGCUUAACCUGGGAACUGCGUCUGAUACUGGAUGGCUUGAAUUCGGGAGAGGGAUGCAGAAUUCCAGGUGUAGCGGUGAAAUGCGUAGAUAUCUGGAGGAAUACCGGUGGCGAAGGCGGCAUCCUGGACCGAGAUUGACACUGAUGAGCGAAAGCCAGGGGAGCAAACAGG
rnacentral:rRNA from 1 species